rnacentral:rRNA from 1 species
AUACGGAGGGUGCAAGCGUUACUCGGAAUUACUGGGCGUAAAGCGCGCGUAGGCGGCUUAUUAAGUCAGAUGUGAAAUCCCCGGGCUCGACCUGGGAACUGCAUCUGAUACUGGUAAGCUAGAGUUUUGGAGAGGGAAGUAGAAUUUCAGGUGUAGCGGUGAAAUGCAUAGAGAUCUGAAGGAAUACCAGUGGCGAAGGCGACUUCCUGGCCAAAAACUGACGCUGAGGUGCGAAAGCGUGGGUAGCAAACAGGAUUAGAUACCCUAGUAGUCCC